AGAGUUUGAUCCUGGCUCAGACGAACGCUGGCGGCGUGCCUAAUACAUGCAAGUAGAACGCUGAAGAGAGGAGCUUGCUCUUCUUGGAUGAGUUGCGAACGGGUGAGUAACGCGUAGGUAACCUGCCUGGUAGCGGGGGAUAACUAUUGGAAACGAUAGCUAAUACCGCAUGAUAUUAAUUAUCGCAUGAUAAUCAAUUGAAAGAUGCAAUUGCAUCACUACCAGAUGGACCUGCGUUGUAUUAGCUAGUUGGUGAGGUAACGGCUCACCAAGGCGACGAUACAUAGCCGACCUGAGAGGGUGAUCGGCCACACUGGGACUGAGACACGGCCCAGACUCCUACGGGAGGCAGCAGUAGGGAAUCUUCGGCAAUGGGGGGAACCCUGACCGAGCAACGCCGCGUGAGUGAAGAAGGUUUUCGGAUCGUAAAGCUCUGUUGUAAGAGAAGAACGGGUGUGAGAGUGGAAAGUUCACACUGUGACGGUAUCUUACCAGAAAGGGACGGCUAACUACGUGCCAGCAGCCGCGGUAAUACGUAGGUCCCGAGCGUUGUCCGGAUUUAUUGGGCGUAAAGCGAGCGCAGGCGGUUAGAUAAGUCUGAAGUUAAAGGCUGUGGCUUAACCAUAGUAUGCUUUGGAAACUGUUUAACUUGGGUGCAGAAGGGGAGAGUGGAAUUCCAUGUGUAGCGGUGAAAUGCGUAGAUAUAUGGAGGAACACCGGUGGCGAAAGCGGCUCUCUGGUCUGUAACUGACGCUGAGGCUCGAAAGCGUGGGGAGCAAACAGGAUUAGAUACCCUGGUAGUCCACGCCGUAAACGAUGAGUGCUAGGUGUUAGGCCCUUUCCGGGGCUUAGUGCCGCAGCUAACGCAUUAAGCACUCCGCCUGGGGAGUACGACCGCAAGGUUGAAACUCAAAGGAAUUGACGGGGGCCCGCACAAGCGGUGGAGCAUGUGGUUUAAUUCGAAGCAACGCGAAGAACCUUACCAGGUCUUGACAUCCCUCUGACCGCUCUAGAGAUAGAGUUUUCCUUCGGGACAGAGAUGACAGGUGGUGCAUGGUUGUCGUCAGCUCGUGUCGUGAGAUGUUGGGUCAAGUCCCGCAACGAGCGCAACCCCUAUUGUUAGUUGCCAUCAUUGAGUUGGGCACUCUAGCGAGACUGCCGGUAAUAAACCGGAGGAAGGUGGGGAUGACGUCAAAUCAUCAUGCCCCUUAUGACCUGGGCUACACACGUGCUACAAUGGCUGGUACAACGAGUCGCAAGCCGGUGACGGCAAGCUAAUCUCUGAAAGCCAGUCUCAGUUCGGAUUGUAGGCUGCAACUCGCCUACAUGAAGUCGGAAUCGCUAGUAAUCGCGGAUCAGCACGCCGCGGUGAAUACGUUCCCGGGCCUUGUACACACCGCCCGUCACACCACGAGAGUUUGUAACACCCGAAGUCGGUGAGGUAACCGUAAGGAGCCAGCCGCCUAAGGUGGGAUAGAUGAUUGGGGUGAAGUCGUAACAAGGUAACC
rnacentral:rRNA from 2 species